UUUCGCAAUUCUCACGGUUAGCAUUCCACCUUCAAAGAUAUCCUCUAGGGUAUGGGUAAAGCUUCUGCAAACUUCUAUAACAGAACUGGUAAGUAAAUUAAAACUUAAACGCUGCAGUAUUACUUUGGAAUAGGAGAGCCCAAAAGGACUCAUGACUGUCAUAUUGGCAAUAUCUUAAAGGCACAAGCACCUUUUGAUUUGGGUGAUCCUAGCAGAUGUAGUCUUUGUGAAUAAGCUGUAAAUUUGACUGUUUGGAUCACUGAAUUCUAGUGCAGUGUGUCCCUAUAUAAAUGUUCUAGGUAAGUUCUUGUUAUAUUUACUAAGCAUUAUGGAUAAAUCAUCAAUCGUUAAGUAGGACAUUAACAUUAUCACGACAAGCUUAUGGGUGUUUUGACAGUACUGUCCUUACAAAGGCACCAGUUAUGUGUUAGGAUUUUGGCUCGUCAAAUAUGUCCUAAUUGGUUUAGGAUUGUUUUAGGAAAAUUAGAGGUAUACAGAUUCUUGUCCUAGAGGGAUUAGGAAAGAAUUUCAGUUUUCCUUAUUCAAUUUAGGUUUGGAUUUCUAGAAGUCUAUUUGGAUUUGGAUAAGUGUAAUUUCCUAGUCCACUUAGGGACAUGUAAGCCAACCCUAUGCCUAUAAAAAGGGUGCGGGAAGGCUUAAUUUUUGGAGAGAAAAACAGCCAGAGACAGACGAGAGUUUUGAGAUUAGUUCUAGGGUUUGCAAAAGUUCUGUAAUCUCUAUUAUUAAUCAAGGGAGCGGUGAUUUCUCUACCUAGAGAAAUCACAACCGGACGUAGGCAAAAGUUCUGCCGAACCAGUAUAAUUCUUGUGUGUUUCUAAGGUUUUCUAUAUUUGCUAGUCUAGUCUAUUGUCGUU
rnacentral:lncRNA from 1 species